rnacentral:rRNA from 1 species
CCAAUAGCGUAUAUUAAAGUUGUUGCAGUUAAAAAGCUCGUAGUUGAAUUUCGGGGUUAGUAGGUUGGUCAUGCCUCUGGUAUGCACUGGUCUCACUGAUUCCUCCUUCCUGAUGAGCCGUAAUGCCAUUAAUUUGGUGUUGCGGGAAUCUGGACUGUUACUUGGAAAAAAUUAGAGUGUUUAAAGCAGGCUAACGCUUGAUUACCUUAGCAUGGAAUAAUGGAAUUGGACGUUCGAUCUUAUUUUGUUGGUUUCUAGGAUUGACGUAAUGAUUAAUAGGGAUAGUUGGGGGCAUUAGUAUUCAAUUGUCAGAGGUGAAAUUCUUGGAUUUAUUGAAGACUAACUACUGCGAAAGCAUUUGCCAAGGAUGUUUUCAUUAAUCAAGAACGAAAGUUAGGGGAUCGAAGACGAUCAGAUACCGUCGUAGUCUUAACCAUAAACUAUGCCGACUAGGAAUCGGAUGAUGUUAAUUUUUUAAUGACUCAUUCGGCGCCUUACG